GGCUGAUGCACAAUCAGAGAUGAGAGCAGCAAAUGGUCUUUUCUAUCAGCAAGCAUGUAGUAAUUAUGGAACUUUGGUUCCCAAGGAACCAAUGCCGGUGUUUCAAGAUGAAUCGGUACCUGCUCAUUUCUAGCAGUAAAUAUGUAACUCUUAGGAUGUUUGGUUCUAAAAGGAAGUUUGUCGCCAUAUUGUAUAAAAGCUAUUAUACUUUUCUGGAGAACUAUGAGCUUUGUUUGAUCAACCAUUGUCUCAGACAAGCUUUCACCAAAGAACUAUAUAAUGUCCCCAAAAUUAUUUUUGUCAAACAAUAUGUAAGAAGUGUCUCUUCCUAGGCAGGACCAGCUAUUGCCAGGUAAAUUGACAUGGAUUGAAUAGGCUUGUUAAGUUACAUGCCAUGAAUGCCCAAUAACUAUACCAACAUGCUUUUUUCUUUCUGUUACUUAAUGAGCAUUCAUCCUAUUUGCCUAUUUAUCUAAAGCUGAAAGGACUCUCUGUUUGUCUAGAAGUCCAUGCUGUUUCCUGGAAUGGCAUGGGGUUAUGCUUUUCUUUUGUAACCUAAAAACUGGAGGGAUUUAUAAUUUGCUCUAUAUAUUAUUUUGUAUGAAGAAAUAACUGAUCCUUCCUCCAUGUCAGAUUACCAGAUUUACUAUGCCUUGUGUUGCAGGGCCAGAGCACUCUAGUGAAGGGAAAGGAAACCUUAGAGUAACUUUUGUUUGAUCAAAGCUUAAGUUCAAUUUAUAUUCUAUAUGACAGUUCAGCAUUAACCAUGUGUCUUAAUAUGCAGAUGCUCUAGAGUCUGGACCUCCUCAGACAAUACUUCCAAGAGACCUAACGGCAAAGAGUUGCCCGAGGAACUCCAUGUUAAGAGGCAGCAUUUCAUGUUAUAAAUGACACUAUCAUGGAUUACAAAAGAAUCAGAAGUUCAGCAAAGGAAACUAUGUACGAUGUCGUUAUACAUAGGUGUUCCACAUGGCUGGUUCCUAAGAUUAUAAAUAUACUGACAGGAGAAGCUACUGCUUAACCAGGUAAGGAAACCAAGGAAGUGUCAGUUUCAGGACCUGUUUUACAACAGAAAAUCUUCAAACUUAUACUUUUUACCUAUUAUUAGUCCUCUCUCGCAUGGCUUAUUGACCCUUGGGAUUCCAUAUCACAUAAUACAUCAAACUAUGCCUAUGUUUUCAAUGGCAGAGAUAGUUGAGGUGACAUAACAUCUUGAUGAUAAAGGGGUUUGAACAUAACCUUGGCAUGCAUGUUACUGCAUUGUUAUAUGCAUUUGUCGAAGGUGAAUGAACUUAAUGUACAUGGCAAGGAGGUUGGACCUCACUCUGUCAUCCAUAUAAUCUAAUUCUAGUGCCGUUGUUUAGGGAUAGAGAUGUUUGAGAUAUAUCUCCGUGCUAAAGAUCUGAGUACUUUGCAUAAUUAGAUAACAUAUAUGCAUGCUAUAUAUUUAGUUUUUAAUAAUAGAACUAUUAUUUUUCUUAAUUACAGGGAUAUGAGUUAAAUGUCCAGCAUAAGAAUACUAAUAUGGGGCAUUCCUGUGGGAUAUUAAGCUUUUAUCAUGGCAGUCUUAGUGUCAACAAAACCUGAACAAAAUCUGACCUUGUUUUAUGAUAAGAAUGCCAAAAUUAAUCCAUUUAGCUAUGGGGUCAGCUUUGCAUCUUGAACUUGUAUGCAUUAUCUUAUAGUAUUCGGGUUUGAAUCUGAAAAUAUGUAUCCAUGAUUGAAGUCUAAUAAUUAGAUCCAACAAGAUAUUAUUGCUUAUCAUGUUAUCAAACACAUUAUUGCUAUAGUUGUUGAUUGGUGUAUCAUUUGAGUCAAAACAUGGAUGUUGGUUGAGCCCAAGGUUUGAUCAUGUGACACUGUUUACAAUCAUGUUUAGUUAAUUUAAUUUAGGUAUGUGUACUAUUAGUCUUUUAUACUGAUUGGAAAAUUUUUGGCUCAAAAUUUAUGUUCUUGUUGCCAGGCCAUUGAGUUGCUAUAUUACUGCUGAAUACAUUGGAAAAAAAAAGUUUACAUGGUAAUAAAUUGUGUUGUCUGUGCUCUCCUUGAUUGUGUAUGGUUAUCAGUAGCUAAAUCCAUUAUAUUUUUGUAGUAACUUCAUAUGAACUACUAGCUUCCCCUAACCUCAAUCUUGAAACAUGCUACUUGGUUGCAAGCUCUGGCUUAUGAUAAACUUUGAAAAUGAUUUAACAGCUAAUUUCUAGGCAGAUUACUUUUUAUAUUGCCAACUCUGACUUAUCGAAGUUUGAAAUUGAUGUAACAGCUAACUUCUAGGAGAUGAGCAUUAUAUUUCACCUGCAUUUACAGGCACGGAGUGAAUCCAUUUUCUAAUGCCUCAUCAUUGAUCAGCUGCCAGCUGCACUCGAAGCCAGGGGGAGGUUGGAAAAGAAAAACGCAAGUGGAUCCUUCUAGAGAAACAAAUGAGCAAUAGUUUGAUUGGAUUGACCUGGCUGAGUUGUAUGGAUUAGAAUAUUGGACUGCCAAUUAAUGGUUGCAACUGCAGUUCUAGCAUCAACAUCAUAAGAUAAAGAAAUGGAGUGGACUAAAAGAAAGGCCCACAUGUCACAUUUUCCAAAGACAGGAGUUGGGAGUCGGGUACUCAUGAGAAGAACAAUUCAUAUGGAUUGCUGAAUCUUCUGUUUCUCCUGAGCCACAUGAUCAUUAAAGAACAGGAAAUCUUUUCUUUCUUCUUCUUCUUCUUCUUCUUUGUCCUUUAUCUGUUAAAAGUCUUGUAGAUCCAAUUGUUGUGGUUGUGACAGAGAAAAAAGAAAAAAA